rnacentral:rRNA from 1 species
GAUGAACGCUGGCGGCGUGCUUAACACAUGCAAGUCGAACGGAAAGGCCCAAGCUUGCUUGGGUACUCGAGUGGCGAACGGGUGAGUAACACGUGGGUGAUCUGCCCUGCACUUCGGGAUAAGCCUGGGAAACUGGGUCUAAUACCGGAUAGGACGAUGGUUUGGAUGCCAUUGUGGAAAGUUUUUUCGGUGUGGGAUGAGCUCGCGGCCUAUCAGCUGGUUGGUGGGGUAAUGGCCUACCAAGGCGUCGACGGGUAGCCGGCCUGAGAGGGUGUACGGCCACAUUGGGACUGAGAUACGGCCCAGACUCCUACGGGAGGCAGCAGUGGGGAAUAUUGCACAAUGGGCGCAAGCCUGAUGCAGCGACGCCGCGUGGGGGAUGACGGCCUUCGGGUUGUAAACUCCUUUCGCUAGGGACGAAGCGUUUUUGUGACGGUACCUGGAGAAGAAGCACCGGCUAACUACGUG